GUAGCAAUACUUUUGGUGGCGACCGGCGCACGGGUGAGUAACGCGUAUGCAACCCACUUAUCAGAGGGGAAUAACCCGGCGAAAGUCGGACUAAUACCGCAUAAAACAGGGGCACCGCAUGGUGAUAUUUGUUAAAGAAAUUCGCUGAUAGAUGGGCAUGCGUUCCAUUAGGUAGUUGGUGAGGUAACGGCUCACCAAGCCGACGAUGGAUAGGGGAACUGAGAGGUUGGUCCCCCACACUGGUACUGAGACACGGACCAGACUCCUACGGGAGGCAGCAGUGAGGAAUAUUGGUCAAUGGGCGAGAGCCUGAACCAGCCAAGUCGCGUGAAGGAAGAAGGAUCUAUGGUUCGUAAACUUCUUUUGCAGGGGAAUAAAGUGCAGGACGUGUCCUGUUUUGUAUGUACCCUGAGAAUAAGGAUCGGCUAACUCCGUGCCAGCAGCCGCGGUAAUACGGAGGAUCCGAGCGUUAUCCGGAUUUAUUGGGUUUAAAGGGUGCGUAGGUGGUUUGAUAAGUCAGCGGUGAAAGUUUGCAGCUUAACUGUAAAAAUGCCGUUGAAACUGUCGGACUUGAGUGUAAAUGAGGUAGGCGGAAUGCGUGGUGUAGCGGUGAAAUGCUUAGAUAUCACGAAGAACUCCGAUUG
rnacentral:rRNA from 1 species